GACGAACGCUGGCGGCGUGCCUAAUACAUGCAAGUUGAGCGCUGAAGGUUGGUACUUGUACCGACUGGAUGAGCAGCGAACGGGUGAGUAACGCGUGGGGAAUCUGCCUUUGAGCGGGGGACAACAUUUGGAAACGAAUGCUAAUACCGCAUAAAAACUUUAAACACAAGUUUUAAGUUUGAAAGAUGCAAUUGCAUCACUCAAAGAUGAUCCCGCGUUGUAUUAGCUAGUUGGUGAGGUAAAGGCCCACCAAGGCGAUGAUACAUAGCCGACCUGAGAGGGUGAUCGGCCACAUUGGGACUGAGACACGGCCCAAACUCCUACGGGAGGCAGCAGUAGGGAAUCUUCGACAAUGGACGAAAGUCUGACCGAGCAACGCCGCGUGAGUGAAGAAGGUUUUCGGAUCGUAAAACUCUGUUGGUAGAGAAGAACGUUGGUGAGAGUGGAAAGCUCAUCAAGUGACGGUAACUACCCAGAAAGGGACGGCUAACUACGUG
rnacentral:rRNA from 1 species